rnacentral:lncRNA from 1 species
AACACGAAGACAAGGAGACGCAGGCCAGCUGUGGUGUGGGUGUGGCUAGUGCCGGGGAACAGUCUCUGAGGUGCAGAAAGUUGGCUGUGACUCAGACAUCAUUCUGAGCUACCACUCCACACUCUGGACCCCACAGCAACCGCUGGUUGGUCCAUUGUGUUCAGGUAUUUCAACAGGAACCCUGGCAGCUCCUGAACGUCUAUGGAAAAGAGGGGAGAAGAGCACCUUCCGUUGAGAGUCCUGAUGGCCACUCGAGGCCCUGCCGAUAAUUAGUGGCAAGCUGGGACUGGCGCUCAGGUCCCCUGCCUGGGAUGCCACCACUGUCCCGGCUUCUUUAUCUGGUAAAUUACAAACUAUGUUUCUAGGCUCAAUCAACCUAAACGGGACCUCUUCCGUGUGGCUUCCCUCUCUGUUCCUAAGCAACAAGCCAGGAGCCUUUCACACAUACCCUUGAUAGCACUAGUCAGAUUGUGUGGGGAUUUGUCUCUCACUCUGUCCGUCUACUUCCAGGCCAUGAGGCCUCAAGGGUACACGCUGGGCCUGAGUUGCCCUCAGAAUCUGUUAUAGUGCCGGCUACAGACACGUUUGUUCAGUAAAGAAAUGAAGGAAUGAUGCCAAGCCGAUUCUGCUGCGAGACCCUCAGAGUCACCCUUCAAAGAAGAGGACUGGCCUUGCUUGCUGGUGAAGAGCUCAGCCUUUGGAAUCCAAAUUCCAAUUUCUCCUUUCAAAGCUGUUUGGUUUGCAGUGAAUUAGCCUCUAUACACUUCACUUUCCACACUGUACAAUUGGGACUGACGGGGUCUAUCUCACACAGUGGUUAUGGGCAUUGUGUUAGGAAAACCACCCAGUUCUCCUCCUGUGCGUCUCCUUUACUUUCACACAGGACACCAGUUCUGACACAUCUGGUCGCUACAUGUGUGCGGGGUUUUCCCACACCAACAAGCAGUUCUCUGUGAUACCAGCUGCGUGUCCUAUAAUUUAACUUGAUUCUGACACUAUCUACCUGGAGAUAGAGUCAGAUCCCACAGGUUAAGGACUCAGUCCCACAAGACGCUCCCACCCCCCUUCAGAUGCCAAUCAUAAGUAGUAGGUGACCCACAACUUCCAUCUGACUUGGCUAUACAUAGGAGAUUCUCAUGCCCUCCUCCCCCUUGGAUUCGAUUAUUUGCUAGAACAGCUCACAGAACUGAGGGAAACACUUA